AGAGUUUGAUCCUGGCUCAGAACGAACGCUGGCGGCAUGCUAACACAUGCAAGUCGAACGAUCCUUCGGGAUAGUGGCGGACGGGUGAGUAACGCGUAGGUAUCUGCCCUGGAGUGGGGAACAACAGCUGGAAACGGCUGCUAAUACCGCAUACGCCCGGUAACGGGGAAAGCUUUAUGCGCUCUAGGAGGAACCUGCGUCCGAUUAGCUAGUUGGAGGGGUAACGGCCCACCAAGGCGACUAUCGGUAGCUGGUCUGGGAGGAUGAUCAGCCACACUGGGACUGAGACACGGCCCAGACUCCUACGGGAGGCAGCAGUGGGGAAUAUUGGACAAUGGGGGCAACCCUGGUCCAGCAAUGCCGCGUGCGUGAAGAAGGCCUUAGGGUUGUAAAGCGCUUUCGCCCGCGACGAUGAUGACGGUAGCGGGAGAAGAAGCCCCGGCUAACUCCGUGCCAGCAGCCGCGGUAAUACGGAGGGGGCGAGCGUUGUUCGGAAUUACUGGGCGUAAAGGGCGCGUAGGCGGCCUUGUCAGUCAGGCGUGAAAGCCCCGGGCUCAACCUGGGAUGUGCGCUUGAUACUGCAAGGCUUGAGACCGGAAGAGGAUGGCGGAAUACCCAGUGUAGAGGUGAAAUUCGUAGAUAUUGGGUGGAACACCAGUGGCGAAGGCGGCCAUCUGGUCCGGAUCUGACGCUGAGGCGCGAAAGCGUGGGGAGCAAAUAGGAUUAGAUACCCUGGUAGUCCACGCCGUAAACGAUGUGCGCUAGACGUCGGGAGUUAGGCUCUCGGUGUCGCAGCUAACGCAUUAAGCGCACCGCCUGGGGAGUACGGCCGCAAGGUUAAAACUCAAAGGAAUUGACGG
rnacentral:rRNA from 1 species